UUAGUGACGUAGCUAACGCGUGAAGUUGACCGCCUGGGGAGUACGGUCGCAAGAUUAAAACUCAAAGGAAUUGACGGGGACCCGCACAAGCGGUGGAUGAUGUGGAUUAAUUCGAUGCAACGCGAACAACCUUACCUACCCUUGACAUGUCCGGAAGCCUGUAGAGAUACGGGGGUGCCCGAAAGGGAGCCGGAACACAGGUGCUGCAUGGCUGUCGUCAGCUCGUGUCGUGAGAUGUUGGGUUAAGUCCCGCAACGAGCGCAACCCUUGUCCUUAGUUGCUACGCAAGGGCACUCUAAGGAGACUGCCGGUGACAAACCGGAGGAAGGUGGGGACGACGUCAAGUCCUCAUGGCCCUUAUGGGUAGGGCUUCACACGUCAUACAAUGGCCGGUACAGAGGGUUGCCAACCCGCGAGGGGGAGCCAAUCCCAGAAAGCCGGUCGUAGUCCGGAUUGCAGUCUGCAACUCGACUGCAUGAAGUCGGAAUCGCUAGUAAUCGCGGAUCAGCAUGUCGCGGUGAAUACGUUCCCGGGUCUUGUACACACCGCCCGUCACACCAUGGGAGUGGGUUUUACCAGAAGCAGGUAGCCUAACCGUAAGGAGGGCGCCUACCACGGUAGGAUUCAUGACUGGGGUGAAGUCGUAACAAGGUAGCCGUA
rnacentral:rRNA from 1 species